rnacentral:rRNA from 1 species
CAGCCGCCGCCGUAAUACGAAGGUGGCGGGCGUUGUUCGGAAUUAUUGGGCUUAAAGAGCACGUAGGCGGAUCAGAAAGUGUCUUGUGAAAACCCCCGGCUUAACCGGGGAAUUGCUUGGCAAACUUCUAGAUCUUGAGUCAAGUAGGGGUACAUGGAACUCUUAGUGGAGCGGUGGAAUGCGUAGAUAUUAACAGGAACGCCAAUGGUGAAGACAGUGUACUGGGCUUGUACUGACGCUGAAGUGCGAAAGCGUGGGGAGCGAACGGGAUUAGAUACCCCGGUAGUCCACGCCGUAAACGAUGUCUACUAGGUUGUGGGUGUUCUGACACAGUCACAGCCGAAGCAAAAGUGUUAAGUAGACCGCCUGGGGAGUACGGUCGCAAGGCUAAAACUCAAAGGAAUUGACGGGGGCUCACACAAGCGGUGGAGCAUGUGGAUUAAUUCGAAGCAACGCGCAGAACCUUACCUGGGUUUGACAUGUUUUGAUGCCUAUCUGGAAACAGGAGUCGGCUGCCUUAGGGUGAAACUUACACAGGUGCUGCAUGGCUGUCGUCAGCUCGUGUCGUGAGAUGUCGGGUUAAGUCCUUUAACGAGCGAAACCCUUACCGUUAGUUGCCAGCGCGUCAUGGCGGGGACUCUAGCGGGACUGCCGGUGUCAAACCGGAGGAAGGCGGGGAUGACGUCAAGUCCUCAUGGCCUUUAUGCCCAGGGCUUCACACGUGCUACAAUGGUUACUACAAAGCGACGCAAGACCGCGAGGUGGAGCAAAUCGCAAAAAAGUAGCCCCAGUUCGGAUUGUAGGCUGACAACUCGCCUACAUGAAGUUGGAAUCGCUAGUAAUCGCGUAUCAGCUACGACGCGGUGAAUGUGUUCCUGAGCCUUGUACACACCGCCCGUCAAGUGAUGGAAGUCGGGAGCACCCGAAGUCGGAUUGCUAACCAGUUUACUGGAGGCGUCUGCCGACGGUGAGUUCGAUGACUGGCACUAAGUCGUAACAAGGUAACCGUA